AGAGUUUGAUCCUGGCUCAGGAUGAACGCUGGCGGCGUGCCUAACACAUGCAAGUCGAACGAUGAAACCGCCCUCGGGCGGACAUGAAGUGGCGAACGGGUGAGUAACACGUGACCAACCUGCCCCUUGCUCCGGGACAACCUUGGGAAACCGAGGCUAAUACCGGAUACUCCUCGCCCCCCUCCUGGGGGGCCCGGGAAAGCCCAGACGGCAAGGGAUGGGGUCGCGGCCCAUUAGGUAGUAGGCGGGGUAACGGCCCACCUAGCCCGCGAUGGGUAGCCGGGUUGAGAGACCGACCGGCCACAUUGGGACUGAGAUACGGCCCAGACUCCUACGGGAGGCAGCAGUGGGGAAUUUUGCGCAAUGGGGGCAACCCUGACGCAGCAACGCCGCGUGCGGGACGACGGCCUUCGGGUUGUAAACCGCUUUCAGCAGGGAAGAAAUUCGACGGUACCUGCAGAAGAAGCUCCGGCUAACUACGUGCCAGCAGCCGCGGUAAUACGUAGGGAGCGAGCGUUAUCCGGAAUCAUUGGGCGUAAAGAGCGCGUAGGCGGCCUCUCAAGCGGGAUCUCUAAUCCGAGGGCUCAACCCCCGGCCGGAUCCCGAACUGGGAGGCUCGAGUUCGGUAGAGGCAGGCGGAAUUCCCGGUGUAGCGGUGGAAUGCGUAGAUAUCGGGAGGAACACCAGUGGCGAAGGCGGCCUACUGGGCACCAACUGACGCUGAGGCUCGAAAGUGUGGGUAGCAAACAGGAUUAGAUACCCUGGUAGUCCACACCGUAAACGAUGAUUACUAGGUGUUGGAGGAUUGACCCCUUCAGUGCCGCAGUUAACACAAUAAGUAAUCCACCUGGGGAGUACGACCGCAAGGUUGAAACUCAAAGGAAUUGACGGGGGUCCGCACAAGCAGUGGAGUAUGUGGUUUAAUUCGACGCAACGCGAAGAACCUUACCAAGUCUUGACAUCCCUUGACAGACAUAGAAAUAUGUUUUCUCUUCGGAGCAAGGAGACAGGUGGUGCAUGGUUGUCGUCAGCUCGUGUCGUGAGAUGUUGGGUUAAGUCCCGCAACGAGCGCAACCCUUAUGGUCAGUUACUACGCAAGAGGACUCUGGCCAGACUGCCGUUGACAAAACGGAGGAAGGUGGGGAUGACGUCAAAUCAUCAUGCCCUUUAUGACUUGGGCUACACACGUACUACAAUGGCGUUAAACAAAGAGAAGCAAGACCGCGAGGUGGAGCAAAACUCAGAAACAACGUCCCAGUUCGGACUGCAGGCUGCAACUCGCCUGCACGAAGUCGGAAUUGCUAGUAAUCGUGGAUCAGCAUGCCACGGUGAAUACGAUCCCGGGCCUUGCACUCACCGCCCGUCA
rnacentral:rRNA from 1 species